UCGAAUGGACGCUAACUAUUACGAUAAAACCGGAAGCUCGGAGCUCGAGCGCUGUUUCAUGUUGUCAUUUCCGGUCUGAGAGCUGCGAUAUUGCGUCACUUCCUGUCUGCGGGAUGGGUACUGAGACGAGCGGCGCAGGGUACUGAGAGAGGCGGGCUGCAGCCAGACUCUCUUGGAUCCUGAUUCCGACGACGACGACCUUUGUUCGGACGCUUCUUUGGAGAGCCCAGAAGACAUUGAACAAAUUCUUCCGGACUUUCUCGAUGCCGGAGGAGGAAGGCUUUGAUGACGAGGAUUAGGAAAUAGUUGACAACAUAACGAGAUGAAAGCGGGGAGCAGAAGGCGGGGGCACGGACAUGACCACGUUCAGGCGCAUGACGAAAAUGACGGCGAUCGAGGCCUGAGGCACAUACUCCUGCCGCCGGCGCGCACUCAGGUGGCCAAUGUGUGUUUUUUCACAUGCCGGACAUUUCGUCAUGCAGCGCGUUUGUGCUGUUCACGGAGAUCUACCCUCGUUUGUGCUGUUCACGGAGAUCUACCCUGAGUGGAACGUGAAGAAAAGCUACAAGCGCCGACUAUUUCUUGAGGAACUUGGCAAGGCUCUAAUUCGGCCAGAAGUCCUAAAACGGGAACCACCGCCUUCUGCCGAAGGCUUGGUUGAGCAGCGAGCUGGACCCCCGUCCAAGCGCAAACAAUGUGGCCUUUGCACAAAGCCACUUCGGGCUUCGAACAUAAUAAUAAAUAAUAAUACAUUUUAUUUAUAACGCACUUUACAUUUGAACAACAAAUCUCAAAGUGCACAUCAUGAAUUGUGUAUGUUGUUAUUAUGUUAACUGUUAUAUUGUAUGUAUGUUUUGUAAAAUUGUUAACAUAAAUUCUAUCAUCAAAUCA